UCCACCCACCUCAGCCUCCCACAGUGCUGGGAUGACAGGUGUGAGCCACCGCGCCUAAAUUCUUUCUUAGGCAAAGCCAAGAACUGUCCUGGGCUAUGCCCCAAUCUGGGAGCUCACCUUCCCCGCAUCGUCGAGUGACCAGGAAAGGAUGAUGAGGACAGCGAGUGAGAGGCAGAGAGACUUUCAGCCGAGGCAGGGACAAUUAGCAGAGAGGCGAGAUGGCUGGACAGCAGAGAUGGUGACAGUCAGCGAUCCAAGGAGGGGUGGCAAUGGGUGAGAGACACGGAGAGGUGGCACUGGGCAAGACAGCGAGAGGUUGCUGAGACAGGUGGAGAGACAGCGAGGACAGGGCAGUCUGUGAUCAGGGCUCCAAGAGCGGUCACACUGAGGCCGUAACGAUAAACAGCUGCUAAUACUGCAGAGCUGUCAUACUAACCAGAGGCUUUGCCCUUGGCGCCUUCAUCUUUCCCUGGCUGGUGGUGGAGCUCAGCGACGGGCAAGCAGCUCUUACGACUUAGAUCUUAGCAGUCAGAACAGAACAAGCUUUCACUGCUGAUGAACCAAGUACAAUGACAACUCUGAGAAGCUUUAGCUCUACAUCAUGAUGGAUUGGGAGCAGGUGCAAAGCCUGUGGGCUAUCAAAGCACUUUGACCUCUGAAAGUUUUCGGAAACUCACUGGCGUCACCAACCAAAGCACAACAUGCUGCCACCACAGAUAUUUCUAAAUGUCCGAAGUAGCAGCUUCCGUUGGACAACAGGAGUGUAAGCAGGAGCCAAGAGUGAAACAUGCUCUUCACCCUCUUACAAAGACUGUGAGGUUUGGUGUAUUCGUCCAGAGAGACUUCAAAUGCAGCUAUCACAGAGAAGAAGUAGCUGCUGCCAUCAUCACAGUCUGUGCAUCUGUGCAAAAGGGGCAUCUUAUCCCAGAGAUAAAGUUUUGGGACACCAUGAAGUCAUCUCCUUGCUGACAGCCAUAGAAGACGUUCCUGCUUUCCCUCCACCUUCCGCCAUGACUGUAAGUUUCCUGAGGCCUCCCCAGCCGUGCUUCCUGUAUGGCCUGUGGAACCGUG